UCUUUUUUUCGGAGCUGGGGACCGAACCCAGGGCCUUGCACUUCCUAGGUGAGGUGUCCACAGAGUCCAGAAGAGGGGAAUCCGUUUCCCUGGAGUUACAGGCAGAUGUCAGCACCUGAUGUGGAUGUUGGGAACUGAACCCGGGAUCUCUGAGGACUGAACCACCCGGUUUGGCUCGGUGACUCAGCCCUGUGUCUGCUACUCGUCUGGAGGUCACCUGGGAGCUGUCCUGAUUAUCAGAUCUAUUAUUGCUGUCCUUGCCUCCAGGUCCAGGAGGCCAGAGGAUGGUAUCGAAUUCCCCGGAAGUGGAGUUAUGGGAAGUUGUGAGCCAUCAUGGGGACGCUGGAAAUCGAACCCAGGUCCUCUGCAAGGGCAGCAAGGGCUCUUAACCGCCGAGCCAUCCCGCCAGUCCCUAAGAGAUUUCGUGUUGUGUGUGUGUGUGUGUUUUUUUUAACAUCCUGAACUUUGAGCUGAUGUAAACGUGUUCAGUAAAACCACAGGAGUCCAUUGCUUCACGACAAGCCCGGAAAGAUUAGACUAUAAUUGAAAGAUGGUAUGACUCACAGUAGCACAUACCUUCAAGCUCUUUAUUUCCCCUUCAGAGAAACAAACAUGAAGGAGGCUUCUUUUCAAAGAAGCAGUUUUUCAAUGCGCACACUGAUGAAGUUCCUUCGGGGCUUCAUACUUUCACAACCAACUAAGCCAGCCAACCAAUCAACAAACGAAAAAAGAUGAAACAAAACCCCCAAAUUAAACUAACCAAAUUCGUUUUUGACCCUGCCUGACAAAGAAAAGAACUGAAACAACUAAACUACUUUCCCUUUCCUUUUGAGACAGGGUCUCGGUCUGUGUCCCAGAUCGGUCUGGAGUUCUAGAAGGUCCAGGAUGCAUAGUCUGGGAUGGCCUGAGUCCCUUUGCCCCAACAGCCUGAGUCCAGGGAUCACAGGCAUGAACCCCUGUGCCACACUCACUGUUCCUUGCUCCAUUCCUGUUUUUCU
rnacentral:lncRNA from 1 species